rnacentral:rRNA from 1 species
UCAGGCCUAACACAUGCAAGUCGAACGGUAACAGGUCUUCGGAUGCUGACGAGUGGCGAACGGGUGAGUAAUGCAUCGGAACGUGCCCAGUCGUGGGGGAUAACUGCUCGAAAGAGCAGCUAAUACCGCAUACGACCUGAGGGUGAAAGCGGGGGACCGUAAGGCCUCGCGCGAUUGGAGCGGCCGAUGUCAGAUUAGGUAGUUGGGGGGGUAAAGGCUCACCAAGCCAACGAUCUGUAGCUGGUCUGAGAGGACGACCAGCCACACUGGGACUGAGACACGGCCCAGACUCCUACGGGAGGCAGCAGUGGGGAAUUUUGGACAAUGGGGGCAACCCUGAUCCAGCAAUGCCGCGUGAGUGAAGAAGGCCCUCGGGUUGUAAAGCUAAUGUGUCAGGGAAGAAAAGGUUGUGGCUAAUAUCCACGGCUGAUGAC